rnacentral:rRNA from 1 species
UCAGAAUCCGUGCUAGAAACGAUGAUGUUGGUGUCGCACAUUAGACUUGUGUUUAAAUAGAGCUUUGCUCGUGAACCAAAUAUGGUGGGCUGGGUUGUCUUUGUGGAAACGCUUAGGCGACUUGUCUACGAAUUGUAAUCAUAAUAUGGGCGGCGGUGAAUCCUUUGCAGACGACUUGAAUGGGAACGGGGUACUGUAAGUGGUAGAGUAGCCUUGUUGCUACGAUCCACUGAGGUUAAGCCCUUGUUCUAAAGAUUUGUUCA